UACGGGGGGAGCAAGCGUUGUUCGGAUUUACUGGGCGUAAAGGGCGCGUAGGCGGCCACCGCAAGUCAAUUGUGAAAUCUCCGAGCUUAACUCGGAAAGGUCAACUGAUACUGUGCGGCUAGAGUGCGGGAAGGGGCAACUGGAAUUCUUGGUGUAGCGGUGAAAUGCGUAGAUAUCAAGAGGAACACCUGCGGCGAAGGCGGGUUGCUGGGCCGACACUGACGCUGAGGCGCGAAAGCCAGGGGAGCGAACGGG
rnacentral:rRNA from 1 species